UAUGGAGAGAUUCUAGCAUGUCCACGUCCUUAAAAAAAUCAUCCAAUCAGGAGAUUUAAAUAUGCCACAUCAUCUUUACUUAGCCAAUUUUUUAAAAAAUACGGGCCUCCUGCGUUUGGGCUCUUAAAUCUUCCGAAAUCAACUUUUCGGACCUCAUAUCCGACCCAGGUUAAAAACAGUUGACAUACCCUAAUCUUCUAAAAUCGUCAUAGAAUAAACCAUCUUCUUUCAUCUUCUUCCAAUCUUCGUUACACAUCCUCUAUGCAAUCAAUCGUUUGCUUUAAUUCCCUCUUAAUGAUUUCCUUUGGCCUCCUCUCUUUCUCAUUCUUUAUAAACUCUUUCUUUUUAGCUUUUUUAGCUUGCUAAGAAUCAAAACCCGAAAAGCUCAUCUCAAUAAGCGCAAGCCAUGGCAAAACCCAACCGAUAGUCACCUAUUCAACCAGAAAUCUCCUCUCCUCUCGCUUUGUAUUUCACAUCUCACCCGAAAAACGCAGAAAAAGUAUGGAACUUUAUUGGACUUGAAAUGGUCAUCAUGGACGAACAGGCGGAGGAUUUGCUGAUGCAUAAAUGAUUUACAAUAUUUUUGAAGUUAAUGACAUUGGAAAGACAUGCUUCGUACUAUAUAGCUUAUGCUUUUCACAUGGAGUUCAAAUCUGAGGUGGAAAACACCACUGAGAUCUUCAGUCUCAGAAUAUCUAGAAAGGCAGAGUCUAUGGAAAGUUGAAUGAUUCUUACGAAAAAUUCAUGCGCAUUCGAGGGACCUUCUCCUAUCUACACUGAAACUACAUGACUGGAGGAGAGCGCAGAGGAGAGGAUAAAAGAAAAAAAAAUCUUUACCUAGAAAAUGGACACAUUAAAGGUUUCUACUCUUUGCUUACUCUUUUGAAGGUUUUGGUAGACAAAGAAGAAUUUAUAGCACUGGGAAUAAGAACUAAACCAUCUCAUAAUUAUCAACUGCUCUGCUGCUUAAUGAUGGCUGUGAGACUAAGAAGUAGGAGUAUGAUUCAUUCACGAAAACAAUCAUGAAGUGUUUAUUUAUCAGCUUCGUACAAUGAACAUCCUCCACUAAAUUCCAUAAAAUCUAGAAAUCAAUAAAAUCAAUGAGGAGAAAAAAACAUCAAUGGACAAUGGUUGCUGAGUAUUCUGCGGAAGCCAUCUUAAGAAGGGUCCAUGCUCUACAAAACGAUGAUUUUAUGCCUCCAAUUGAAGCCAUCCUUGCUCCAUUAGAAGCUGAGCUUAAGCUUGCACGAUAAGAGGUUGGGAAGGUUAAAGAAGAUAAGAUGGUUUUGAAUCGUAUAACUUAAUCAAAAUAAGCUGCCUUACUUAAUGCUGAGAGGACUAUUGGAUGUGCCCUGGCAAAAAGCAGUGAUGAUUGAUGAUGUUAAAAAUAGAUGUCAUGAGUUAAUGAAACAAAAACAAAUCUGACAGGUUCUGUAGUUAUCUUAAUUCUUUGUAUGUAUUCUCAACACGCUAGAGAUAGGAAAUCUCCCAGUACAACUAUAUUAUGACGAUCAAAGACAAAAGUUUGAAAGCUGUUCUAUUGUACUUGCCAUUACCAAUA